UUAAGGUGAAACCGCGAAAGGCUCAUUAAAUCAGWWAUGGUUCCUUAGAUCGUACCCACAAUUACUUGGAUAACUGUGGUAAUUCUAGAGCUAAUACAUGCAAACAGAGCUCCGACCGGAGACGGAAGGAGUGCUUUUAUUAGAUCAAAACCAAUCGGUGGCGGGUUCGCCCGUUAUCGUACAACUUGGUGACUCUGAAUAACUUUACGCUGAUCGCACGGUCAUCGCACCGGCGACGCAUCUUUCAAAUGUCUGCCUUAUCAACUGUCGAUGGUAGGUUCUGCGCCUACCAUGGUUGUAACGGGUAACGGGGAAUCAGGGUUCGAUUCCGGAGAGGGAGCCUGAGAAACGGCUACCACAUCCAAGGAAGGCAGCAGGCGCGCAAAUUACCCACUCCCGGCACGGGGAGGUAGUGACGAAAAAUAACGAUACGGGACUCAUCCGAGGCCCCGUAAUCGGAAUGAGUACACUCUAAACCCUUUAACGAGGAUCAAUUGGAGGGCAAGUCUGGUGCC
rnacentral:rRNA from 1 species